AAUCAAGUGGAGGACAAGUCUGGUGCCAGCACCCGCGGUAAUUCCAGCUCCACUAGCGUAUAUUAAAGUUGUUGCAGUUAAAAAGCUCGUAGUUGAACCUCUGUCUGGGGCUAGUUUUGGCUUUGGUCAGGCUAGUUCUAGGCAUCCGCCUACAAGACUUAGAGGGCAUUCAGUUGUUCACUAGGAGGAGUAGGCAUUUUACUUUGAAAAAAAUUAGAGUGUUUAAGGCAGGCAAUCGCCCGCAUAUAUUAGCAUGGAAUAAUAGAAUAGGACACUUUUCCAUUUCGUUGGUAAUUGGAAUCGUGUAAUGAUUAAUAGGGACAGUUGUGGGCAUUUGUAUUUAAUUGUCAGAGGUGAAAUUCUUGGAUUUAUUAAAGACAAACUAACGCGAAAGCAUUUGCCAAGGAUGUUUUCAUUAAUCAAGAACGAAAGUUAGGGGAUCAAAGACGAUCAGAUACCGUCCUAGUCUUAACUAUAAACUAUUCCGACUCAAUGUUUGACUGGCUUAUAUAACCAGUUGAGCGUUGUAUGAGAAAUCAAAGUCUUUAGGUUCUGGGGGGAGUAUGGUUGCAAAGCUGAAACUUAAAGGAAUUGACGGAAGAGCACAACCAGGAGUGGAUUCUGCGGCUUAAUUUGACUCAACACGGGGAAACUUACCAGGUUAAAACAAUAGUGGGAUUGACAGUUUGAGAGCGCUUUCUUGAUUGGUUGGGUGGUGGUGCAUGGCCGUUCUUAGUUGGUGGAGUGAUUUGUCUGCUUAAUUGCGUUAACGAACGAGACCUUAACCUGCUUACUAGACUGGCGAUCAUCAAUCGUUAGCUCUUCUUAGAGGGACUUUGGUUGUUUUAACUCCAAGGAAGUUUGAGGCAAUAACAGGUCUGUGAUGCCCUUAGAUAUCCUGGGCCGCACGCGUCAUACAAUGACUAGUUCAGAAAGUUUUCUCCUGACCCGAAAGGGCAUGGGUAAUCUUGAUAAUACUAGUCGUGUUAGGGAUCGAUCUUUGCAAUUAUAGAUCUUGAACGAGGAAUUCCUAGUAAGUGCGGUUCAUCAGACCGUACUGAUUACGUCCCUGCUCUUUGUACACACCGCCCGUCGCUUCUACCGAGUGGGUGGUCCGGUGAGAUAAUUGAACUUCGCAGGUAACUGAGAGGAAAGAUUAUCAAACCUAUCCACCU
rnacentral:rRNA from 1 species